ensembl:lncRNA
AUAAGAUCAGACAAUGGAACACAUUUUGUAAAUGAUGUGAUUAGCAAGGUCUCCGAAGCAUUAGGAUUUAGUAUAAAAAAUCACUGUGCCUACCAUCCACAAAGUGCAGGGCUAGUGGAAAGAACAAAUGGCACUAUCAAACAAAGAUUAAGGAAAUGCAUGGAAGAGACGGGGAGACCGUGGCCUGAAUGUAUAGGUCUAGUAAAAAUGUGGAUGAGAUUAACACAAGGUUCCCAAAAAUUGACGCCGUUUGAAAUAAUUCAUGGAAGACCUUUCCCCCUACCGAUAACGAGUGAACCAGUAAGCAAAUCAGCUAGAGAGACCACUCUAGCAGAGUGGAUGGCAAAGCUACUAGAAAAUAAAGAAAUUGUGCUGAAUAACAAAUUGCCGCAUGACUCUUCUCCAGUAUCUUGCAGGUUGAAGCCAGGUGACUGGAUCCUAAUCAGGGUACUCCAGAGGAAAAAUUGGAGCUCACCCCGUUGGGAGGGACCAUACCAAGUGCUUUUAACCACGCCGACUGCCUGCAAGAUUGCAGAAAGACCAUCCUGGAUUCACCAAAGCCACUGUAAGAAAAACUGGACGGGUAUGUGUGCUCCAAUCUUCAUAUCUGAUCACACGUUUAAGAUAACUACCGAC